GUGAGGAAUAUUGGUCAAUGGGCGAGAGCCUGAACCAGCCAAGUCGCGUGAAGGAUGAAGGUUUUAUGAAUUGUAAACUUCUUUUGCAGGGGAAUAAAGUACGGUACGUGUACCGUUUUGUAUGUACUCUGCGAAUAAGGAUCGGCUAACUCCGUGCCAGCAGCCGCGGUAAUACGGAGGAUCCAAGCGUUAUCCGGAUUUAUUGGGUUUAAAGGGUGCGCAGGCGGGUUGAUAAGUCAGCGGUGAAAGUUUGCAGCUUAACUGUAAAAUUGCCGUUGAAACUGUCGAUCUUGAGUGCAAAUGAGGUAGGCGGAAUGUGUUGUGUAGCGGUGAAAUGCUUAGAUAUAACACAGAACUCCGAUUGCGAAGGCAGCUUACUGGGAUGCAACUGACACUGAUGCACGAAAGCGUGGGUAUCAAACAGGAUUAGAAACCCUUGUAGUCC
rnacentral:rRNA from 1 species